rnacentral:rRNA from 1 species
AUGGAGGCGGGCGCCGGGCUGGUGGCCGGCUCGCACAACCGGAACGAGCUGGUGCUGAUCCGGGGGCACGAGGACCACAAGCCGGCGCGGGCGCUGAGCGGGCAGGUGUGCGAGAUAUGCGGCGACGAGGUGGGCCGCACGGUGGACGGCGACCUCUUCGUGGCCUGCAACGAGUGCGGCUUCCCGGUGUGCCGCCCCUGCUACGAGUACGAGCGCCGUGAGGGCACCCAGAACUGCCCCCAGUGCAAGACCCGCUACAAGCGCCUCAAGGGGAGCCCCAGGGUGGAGGGCGACGAGGACGAGGAGGACAUCGACGACCUCGAGCACGAGUUCAACAUCGACGACGACAAGCAGCUGCAGCAGCAUGGCGCGCUGCAGAACAGCCACAUCACCGAGGCCAUGCUGCACGGCAGGAUGAGCUACGGGAGGGCCUCCGAGGACGGCGGCGAGGGCAACAACACCCCCAUGGUCGGGAUCCCGCCCAUCAUCACCGGCAACCGCUCCAUGCCGGUGAGCGGCGAGUUCCCGAUGUCAGCAGGAUAUGGCCAUGGCGACUUCUCCUCCUCCAUGCACAAGCGCAUCCAUCCCUACCCGAUGUCCGAGCCAGGGAGCGCAAAGUGGGGGGACGAGAAGAAGGAGGUGAGCUGGAAGGAGAGGAUGGACGACUGGAAGUCCAAGCAGGGCAUCUACGGCGCCGCCGACCCCGACGACAUGGACGCCGACGUGCCCCUGAACGACGAGGCGAGGCAGCCGCUGUCCCGGAAGGUGUCGAUCGCGUCGAGCAAGGUGAACCCGUACCGGAUGGUGAUCAUCCUCCGCCUCUUCGUGCUCUGCGUCUUCCUCCGGUACCGCAUCCUCAACCCGGUCCCGGAGGCCAUCCCGCUGUGGCUCACCUCCAUCGUGUGCGAGAUCUGGUUCGCCGUCUCCUGGAUCCUCGACCAGUUCCCCAAGUGGUACCCCAUCGACCGCGAGACCUACCUGGACCGCCUCUCGCUGAGGUACGAGCGGGAGGGGGAGCCGUCGAUGCUGUCGCCGGUGGACCUGUUCGUCAGCACGGUGGACCCGCUCAAGGAGCCCCCGCUGGUGACGGCCAACACGGUACUCUCCAUCCUCGCCGUCGACUACCCGGUGGACAAGGUGUCGUGCUACGUCUCCGACGACGGCGCCUCCAUGCUCUCCUUCGAGUCGCUGUCGGAGACGGCCGAGUUCGCCCGCAAGUGGGUGCCCUUCUGCAAGAAGUUCAACAUCGAGCCCCGCGCCCCCGAGUUCUACUUCUCCCGCAAGGUCGACUACCUCAAGGACAAGGUCCAGCCCACCUUCGUCCAGGAGCGCCGCGCCAUGAAGAGGGAGUACGAGGAGUUCAAGGUGCGGAUCAACGCGCUGGUGUCCAAGGCGCAGAAGGUGCCCGAGGAGGGGUGGAUCAUGAAGGACGGCACGCCGUGGCCCGGCAACAACACCCGCGACCACCCCGGCAUGAUCCAGGUCUUCCUGGGCCACAGCGGAGGCCUCGACACCGAGGGCAACGAGCUGCCGCGCCUCGUCUACGUCUCCCGUGAGAAGCGCCCCGGCUUCCAGCACCACAAGAAGGCCGGCGCCAUGAACGCUCUCAUCCGCGUCUCCGCCGUGCUCACCAACGCGCCCUUCAUGCUCAACCUGGACUGUGACCAUUACAUCAACAACAGCAAGGCCAUCCGGGAGUCCAUGUGCUUCCUCAUGGACCCUCAGGUCGGCCGCAAGGUCUGCUACGUGCAGUUCCCCCAGAGGUUCGACGGCAUCGACGCGCACGACCGAUACGCCAACAGGAACACCGUCUUCUUCGACAUCAACAUGAAGGGGCUGGACGGCAUCCAAGGGCCGGUGUACGUCGGAACAGGAUGCGUGUUCAGGCGACAGGCGCUCUACGGCUACAACCCUCCUAGCGGCCCCAAGAGGCCGAAGAUGGUGACCUGCGACUGCUGCCCGUGCUUCGGCCGCAAGAAGCGAAAGGGCGGCAAGGAUGGGCUGCCGGAAGGCGUGGCCGAUGGAGGAAUGGACGGCGACAAGGAGCAGAUGAUGUCCCAAAUGAACUUCGAGAAGCGGUUCGGGCAGUCCGCGGCGUUCGUGACGUCGACGUUCAUGGAGGAAGGCGGCGUCCCGCCGUCGUCGAGCCCCGCCGCUCUCCUCAAGGAGGCCAUCCAUGUCAUCAGCUGCGGCUACGAGGACAAGACUGACUGGGGUUUAGAGCUGGGGUGGAUCUACGGGUCGAUCACGGAGGACAUCCUGACCGGGUUCAAGAUGCACUGCCGCGGGUGGCGGUCGAUCUACUGCAUGCCGAAGCUGGCGGCCUUCAAGGGGUCGGCGCCGAUCAACCUGUCGGACCGUCUCAACCAGGUGCUGCGGUGGGCGCUGGGGUCCGUGGAGAUCUUCUUCAGCCGGCACAGCCCGUUGCUCUACGGCUACAAGGGCGGCAACCUCAAGUGGCUCGAGCGCUUCGCCUACAUCAACACCACCAUCUACCCCUUCACCUCACUCCCGCUGCUCGCCUACUGCACCCUCCCCGCCGUCUGCCUUCUCACCGGCAAGUUCAUCAUGCCGCCGAUUAGCACGUUCGCCAGUCUCUUCUUCAUCUCCCUCUUCAUCUCCAUCUUCGCGACGGGCAUCCUGGAGCUGCGGUGGAGCGGGGUGAGCAUCGAGGAGUGGUGGAGGAACGAGCAGUUCUGGGUCAUCGGCGGCGUGUCGGCGCACCUGUUCGCCGUCAUCCAGGGCCUGCUCAAGGUCCUGGCCGGGAUCGACACCAACUUCACCGUCACCUCCAAGGCCACGGGAGACGAGGACGACGAGUUUGCGGAGCUCUACGCCUUCAAGUGGACCACCCUCCUCAUCCCGCCGACGACGCUGCUCGUCAUCAACAUCAUCGGCGUGGUGGCGGGCAUCUCCGACGCCAUCAACAACGGGUACCAGUCGUGGGGCCCGCUCUUCGGCAAGCUCUUCUUCGCCUUCUGGGUGAUCGUGCAUCUCUACCCGUUCCUCAAGGGUCUCAUGGGGAGGCAGAACAGGACGCCCACCAUCGUCAUCAUCUGGUCCGUGCUGCUGGCCUCCAUCUUCUCCCUGCUCUGGGUCAGGAUCGACCCCUUCACCGUCAAGGCCAAGGGGCCUGAUGUGAAGCAGUGCGGCAUCAAUUGCUGA